rnacentral:lncRNA from 1 species
GAGACGCUGCGCGGCGGCAGCGGCGGGCGCGAGCGGCAGCUGUCAGGCCACCGAGGUCCAAGCCGCACUUGCUGCCCCAUUGAGGACGAGGAGGCAGCAGGAGCAGUGACGGUGACUCUAAGGAGCCGGAUUCCCGGCACGCAGAGCUGACCUGCCUGGCACCCGCGGCCCUCUCCUGUUUCCUUCCCAUUGUGUUGGCACCCUAAAAAGAAAGAAUAAAACAACAACAGGAAAAAAAGGAAAAUAUUUAAAUUGUGACAAAAACCCACUGGAUAAGCCAGCUGCAGAAUAUAUCCUGAGGUACCUGCUUUAUGGAAUUAUUCACACUAUUCACCAACAGGAAGAAUAAAGUCAAUCAAUUCAAGGAGUCUCAGAACAGGAGCACAUAGACACCAAACUUUGUGGGACAACAAAUAUAAUGAAGAGUAUGUUUGCGUCUUUCAAACAAAGCCACGUGAAGUCAAGGCCCUUAACACCCACCCCUCCCACAUACUGAGGGGAGAAUUCAGAUGCCCACUGGAGUCAGCCGAUCAGACUGCCUUUUGCACACUCCUUGCCUCCACUCCAGUUUACCGUGGAAGACCUGUCUGCUAUGGCUGAAUCUGAGAGAGAUCCUUGAGUAACGAAUUAAGGAAUGAACAAAUGUUGCUCUGGACAAAGCUGCAGCUUCCACGUCCUGCAUAACUGCACUCAGUACUGACCCUGAAGAUAGGAAAAGCAAUACAACUGGUGCUAGAAAUGUUAUGAGAAUGACUUGGAUGAGCUGAAAAAUGAAUGAUCUCCUUGAACAAGCUCCUUGGAAACCACAGGGUUGUCAUGGUAGCUGUUAUCAAGGAGAAGGGAGUGAGAAGAUGCUGACAACACCCUGUUUCUCUUCCCUAACGAGGUGUAAGGCCAGAUGCCCCCUUCGUCUACACAGAUUCUACGCUCCCUUAUGCUGCUUGCCUGGAAUUUCGCUUUGCUGCAGAGACAUCUGGAAAUGUGGAUUGAGGGUGGAAAUAAAAUGAAGAUGUCCUG